rnacentral:lncRNA from 1 species
UCAGUGUCCCCUUUCCAUGCACUUGCUGCCCCACCCACAGUGGACAGGAGACCCCCAGGAACUGCAGGCUCUGUGCUGGGGCAUGCUUGGUACCUGGAUCUUUGGUGGACACGAGGCGCCUGCCAAGUUUGCAGCCAAAGGUGACCUGGUGCUGCCAGCCAGAGCUUUAACCUAGAGUUCUAUACCCAGUCAAAUUAUCUAUCAAGAAUGAGGUCAGAACAAAGGCAAUUCGGAUGUAUAAGAACACAUAAAUUUUACCUCAAAAGCAGAUUUCCUUAGGAUUUUUACAUGGGAAUCUACUCCAACAAGGUGAAGACAGGAAGAAGAUAAAGUCAAUAUAGGAAGACAAUAGAGUGAAGGGCAACAAUAAAAGCUGUGCAUCUUCUCCGGAGAACAAUUGGCUCAAACUGGAGCAGGUAUGGAAGAUUUUUUUGAGUAUGUUUAGCUUCUUCUUGUGCCCCUCCAAUCCAUAAUAUUGCUCAAGCGAACUUGGUAAAGUUUUAGAUUAUCUUUCCCUCUCCGUUGAAAAUCCUUCAAUGGCUCCCAUUAGUUUCAGAAUAAAAUCCAAGCUUCAGGUGGUGAAAAGGGCCGUUUGAUACUGACCCCUGCCUGCCUCUUCUGUCUCACUUCUUAACUACUCUUCUUGGCCACUUCUGCCCUCUGCUCCAAUCACUGAUCUUUUUACAGAUUUCUUAAGACUACUUACCGCAUCAAAAAUGUUGCAUCUGCUAUUUUCUCUCUGCAAGGAAACAGUUCUUCCCAUACUUUCCCCGGCAGAUCCUGCCUUGAUUUUCAGAACUCAUUAUUUCAGGAAAGCUCCUUGUGUUCACUUUGUGCUCACCUCCAUCCACCACUGAUUUAAGUCCCCUUGGUUGUACCUCUGUGACUUUCCUAUAUGACUCACCUCUAGUGCCAAUCUGUCUCUACAUAAUUAUUGAUUUAUUUAUCUGCUCCCCUCACUUGAUGAUAAUCUCCUUGAGAAUAGGAACUGUGUAACCGUGUCUCGA